rnacentral:rRNA from 1 species
GAAACUUGGACUAAUACCGUAUACGUCCGAGAGGAGAAAGAUUUAUCGGAGUUAGAUGAGCCCGCGUUGGAUUAGCUAGUUGGUGGGGUAAAGGCCUACCAAGGCGACGAUCCAUAGCUGGUCUGAGAGGAUGAUCAGCCACACUGGGACUGAGACACGGCCCAGACUCCUACGGGAGGCAGCAGUGGGGAAUAUUGGACAAUGGGCGCAAGCCUGAUCCAGCCAUGCCGCGUGAGUGAUGACGGCCUUAGGGUUGUAAAGCUCUUUCAACGGUGAAGAUAAUGACGGUAACCGUAGAAGAAGCCCCGGCUAACUUCGUGCCAGCAGCCGCGGUAAUACGAAGGGGGCUAGCGUUGUUCGGAAUUACUGGGCGUAAAGCGCACGUAGGCGGAUACUUAAGUCAGGGGUGAAAUCCCGGGGCUCAACCCCGGAACUGCCUUUGAUACUGGGUAUCUAGAGUAUGGUAGAGGUGAGUGGAAUUCCGAGUGUAGAGGUGAAAUUCGUAGAUAUUCGGAGGAACACCAGUGGCGAAGGCGGCUCACUGGACCAU